rnacentral:tRNA from 1 species
GCCUCGGUAGCUCAGUUGGUAGAGCAAGGGACUGAAAAACCCUGUAUCAUCGCCUUGCCAAGGUGGGGGUCGCGAGUUCGAAUCUCGUUUUCCGCUCCA